CCGUCAUCUCAGCCAUUUUCAAGGCAGGAACUGGUGCAGAGAAUAAAAUAUUUUAACACAGACAUUCAAGACACCCUUAAGAGUAAGAUCAGCAAGCUGACAGUUUCAAUGGAGAUGUACGUAUCUGAAUUGUUGCCUUGACCUUCACCGUGAAAGGAAAUUGUCUGGGAGCAGGCUGCUUCCUGCUACAAUUGCCAGUAGUGGGCAGACAGAGAGAAGGAAAGGCGAAGGCUAGGGCGAGAAAGAAACCGCUCAGCCGCCCCCCUUGCUGCAUGCUUCAGAGCCGUACAAGUAUUCCAAAUAUGGGAAGCGAAGAGUUUCUCUUCCUUACUCUUGGCUGAAACCCAGACAUAGUGGAGGUUCCUACCAGCAGCCGCAGCAUCUGCAGAGGAACAAUGUCCCCUCGUACUGCAUCCAGAAUCUGAGCACCGCAGAAUCAAUUGUACCCCUUUUGGCCCGGAUCAAAACCUGUGGGGUAGGACUGUGCUGUUGGAGCAGCAGCUUGAGCUGGGGCCUCCCUGGAAAAUGGAGAUAGAAUAGAGCACGCCCUUCCUCAGUUAUUCAGGGGCAGCUGCUGAGAUGGGGGCUGGUCUCUGUCCCCCACGCCCCCACCUCACAGCAGGAGGGAGCAAGGGCAAAGAAAGAAGUGGGGAAAUGACUCUGCCAGCAACAGCCACGGACUACUGAGUUUGAAGGCCUGCCUCCACCUCUGCCCAUUCCCGCUUCCAUGCUCAGAAAAGACAGAAGAAAGACAAAAAAAAAAAAAAAAAAAAAAAAA